AUUGAACGCUGGCGGCGUGCUUAACACAUGCAAGUCGAGCGGCAGCGCGGUAGCAAUACUGGCGGCGAGCGGCGAACGGGUGAGUAAUGCUUCGGAAUCUUCCUAGUAGUGGGGAAUAACCUGGGGAAACUCAGGCUAAUACCGCAUACGACCUAAGGGUGAAAGCAGGGGAUCGCAAGACCUUGCGCUCAGAGAUGAGCCUAAGUUGGAUUAGCUAGUUGGUGGGGUAAAGGCCUACCAAGGCGACGAUCCGUAGCUGGUCUGAGAGGACGACCAGCCACACUGGGACUGAGACACGGCCCAGACUCCUACGGGAGGCAGCAGUGGGGAAUAUUGGACAAUGGGGGCAACCCUGAUCCAGCGACGCCGCGUGUGUGAAGAAGGCCUGCGGGUUGUAAAGCACUUUUAGUGGGGACAAAAAGCCCUGGGUUAAUACCCUUGGGUCUUGAUCUAACCCAAAGAAAAAGCACCGGCUAACUCUGUGCCAGCAGCCGCGGUAA
rnacentral:rRNA from 1 species